rnacentral:rRNA from 1 species
AUUGAACGCUGGCGGCAGGCUUAACACAUGCAUGUCGAACGAUGACUCUCUAGCUUGCUAGAGAAGAUUAGUGGCGGACGGGUGAGUAACAUUUAGGAAUCUGCCUAGUAGUGGGGGAUAGCUCGGGGAAACUCGAAUUAAUACCGCAUACAACCUACGGGUGAAAGGGGGCGCAAGCUCUUGCUAUUAGAUGAGCCUAAAUCAGAUUAGCUAGUUGGUGGGGUAAAGGCCCACCAAGGCGACGAUCUGUAACUGGUCUGAGAGGAUGAUCAGUCACACCGGAACUGAGACACGGUCCGGACUCCUACGGGAGGCAGCAGUGGGGAAUAUUGGACAAUGGGGGCAACCCUGAUCCAGCCAUGCCGCGUGUGUGAAGAAGGCCUUUUGGUUGUAAAGCACUUUAAGCAGGGAGGAGAGGCUAAUGGUUAAUACCCAUUAGAUUAGACGUUACCUGCAGAAUAAGCACCGGCUAACUCUGUGCCAGCAGCCGCGGUAAUACAGAGGGUGCGAGCGUUAAUCGGAAUUACUGGGCGUAAAGCGAGUGUAGGUGGCUCAUUAAGUCACAUGUGAAAUCCCCGGGCUUAACCUGGGAACUGCAUGUGAUACUGGUGGUGCUAGAAUAUGUGAGAGGGAAGUAGAAUUCCAGGUGUAGCGGUGAAAUGCGUAGAGAUCUGGAGGAAUACCGAUGGCGAAGGCAGCUUCCUGGCGUAAUAUUGACACUGAGAUUCGAAAGCGUGGGUAGCAAACAGGAUUAGAUACCCUGGUAGUCCACGCCGUAAACGAUGUCUACUAGCCGUUGGGGUCCUUGAGACUUUAGUGGCGCAGUUAACGCGAUAAGUAGACCGCCUGGGGAGUACGGCCGCAAGGUUAAAACUCAAAUGAAUUGACGGGGGCCCGCACAAGCGGUGGAGCAUGUGGUUUAAUUCGAUGCAACGCGAAGAACCUUACCUGGUCUUGACAUAGUGAGAAUCUUUCAGAGAUGAGAGAGUGCCUUCGGGAAUUCACAUACAGGUGCUGCAUGGCUGUCGUCAGCUCGUGUCGUGAGAUGUUGGGUUAAGUCCCGCAACGAGCGCAACCCUUUUCCUUAUUUGCCAGCGGGUUAAGCCGGGAACUUUAAGGAUACUGCCAGUGACAAACUGGAGGAAGGCGGGGACGACGUCAAGUCAUCAUGGCCCUUACGACCAGGGCUACACACGUGCUACAAUGGUAGGCACAGAGGGUUGCUACACAGCGAUGUGAUGCUAAUCUCAAAAAGCCUAUCGUAGUCCGGAUUGGAGUCUGCAACUCGACUCCAUGAAGUCGGAAUCGCUAGUAAUCGCAGAUCAGAAUGCUGCGGUGAAUACGUUCCCGGGCCU